rnacentral:lncRNA from 1 species
UCCUGCUCUCAGACCCGUUCAAGAGCUCAACGAUAAAAAUGGCUUCUACUCUCGGAGCUGCUCGCCACCGUCAAAGCGGGCGGUCGAUAGCUAUUGGUGGCCAAGGUGGGGCUUACGCUUGACGUGUCUACUUAAUCCAUGCUCCGUACGAUCUAAUGUCUUAUAUUCCCAUCCUCGCUUGGGCCUUUUGUUUCUUCGUGAUUGUGCGUGUGCGACGGCCAUGGUUGAAUACCCAAGCGUGUAC